rnacentral:rRNA from 1 species
CCUACGGGAGGCACCAGUGGGGAAUAUUGGACAAUGGGCGAAAGCCUGAUCCAGCAAUGCCGCGUGUGUGAAGAAGGUCUUCGGAUUGUAAAGCACUUUCGACGGGGACGAUGAUGACGGUACCCGUAGAAGAAGCCCCGGCUAACUUCGUGCCAGCAGCCGCGGUAAUACGAAGGGGGCUAGCGUUGCACGGAAUGACUGGGCGUAAAGGGCGCGUAGGCGGUUUAUGCAGUCAGAUGUGAAAUCCCCGGGCUUAACCUGGGAACUGCAUUUGAGACGCAUAGACUAGAGGUCGAGAGAGGGUUGUGGAAUUCCCAGUGUAGAGGUGAAAUUCGUAGAUAUUGGGAAGAACACCGGUGGCGAAGGCGGCAACCUGGCUCGGUACUGACGCUGAGGCGCGAAAGCGUGGGGAGCAAACAGGAUUAGAUACCCCAGUAGUC